rnacentral:rRNA from 1 species
AACGAACGCUGGCGGCAUGCCUAACACAUGCAAGUCGAACGAGACCUUCGGGUCUAGUGGCGCACGGGUGCGUAACGCGUGGGAACCUGCCCUUAGGUUCGGAAUAACUCCCCGAAAGGGGUGCUAAUACCGGAUAAUGUCUUCGGACCAAAGAUUUAUCGCCUUUGGAUGGGCCCGCGUUGGAUUAGCUAGUUGGUAGGGUAAAAGCCUACCAAGGCGACGAUCCAUAGCUGGUCUGAGAGGAUGAUCAGCCACACUGGGACUGAGACACGGCCCAGACUCCUACGGGAGGCAGCAGUGGGGAAUAUUGGACAAUGGGCGAAAGCCUGAUCCAGCAAUACCGCGUGAGUGAUGAAGGCCUUAGGGUUGUAAAGCUCUUUUACCCGGGAUGAUAAUGACGGUACCGGGAGAAUAAACUCCGGCUAACUCCGU